UUCAUUGAUUGUCUGUUCCAGUCAGGUACCUGGCUACUGCAAGGCUAAAACCAAGCCUCUGACCCAGAAGCCUGGCCCUAGGACAGAGCUGCCAAGUUCGGAGAAACUCUGGGCGUAAUUUGCCGCCUCAGAGAAAAAAGGCAGCUUUCUACACUGCCAGGCACUGAUUGCACAACAGCCAGCCUAAGACUAGGCGGGGCCAUCUGCUGCGCACCGUCAUUCCGAACCCCCGAGAGCAGCGCGCGUGGGAACAGACAGCCGGCGCUCCACGAAAGACACUGCCUACAUCGUAUUUCCGACGGUUCUGCGGGCGUUCACCACGCGGCAGCCCGGACGGCGAGUUCUCCCGGAUCGCGGCGGGAAGCGCAGACCUCCGGAGUCCCGGAAGGGCGCACACCCAGCCCCCGGCCAUGGCUCCGGGACCCCAUAUUCCUCGUCGUCUUGAGUGUCGUGCUGUGGUUCCUUAAAAAUGGACGACAUAUGAAUAAAGAAAAUAGGUCUGAAAGGUGAGGAUUUCAAAGAGUAGAUCUCUUCAUUCUUCAAACUGCUGACCCCAUGAGGACAGGCACCGCACCUCUGCUUCCUGCUUGGCCUCUGUUCCUGGAGGGGAGCACAUUCGGGCCUUUCACUUGGAGAAGCUACUGGUCAGGCCUAUCUCCUCCUCUUCCUGCGGUAGUGCUUCAGUGGGAAUCACGUUGGGCGGGGUGUCCAGGCUCUGGAGAGACAGAAGCUCUGAUUCGUUAACCACUGAGCCACGACCGGAACUCCCAAAGGUCUUUUUUUUAAAGCACCAUUUAUAGGGUUCAAAGUGUCAAUUAAUCAGGAAGACAUCUUUUUUGUGUGUGUCUUUUUGUCUUUUAGGGCCGCACCCGCAUCACAUGGAGGUUCCCAGGCUAGGUAGGGGUCUAAUGGGAGCUGUAGAUGCCAGCCUACACCACAGCCUCAGCAAUACCAGAUCCGAGCUGCAUCUGCGAACCACACCACAGCUCACUGCAGUGCCAGAUCCUUAACCCACUGAUCGAGGCCAGGGAUCGAGCCUGCAACCUCAUGGUUCCUAGUCAGAUUCAACUUCACUGCAUCAUGACAAGAACUCCAGGAAGACAUCUUAAUCUUAUGUGCCAAAUAUUAUGUGCCUAAUAAUAGAGUUUUAAAAUACGUGAAGCAAAAAUGGAUGAAAUUAAAGGACAAUCAGAGUCCUCUUGUGGCAAACAGGUUAAGGAUCUGGCAUUGUCACUGCAGCAGCUCAGGUACUGCUGUGGUGUGGAUUUGAUCCUUGGCCUGAGAAUCAGUCUUUCUUUUCUUUUUCUUUCUUUCUUUCUUUCUUCCUUUCUUUCUUUCUUUCUUUCUUUCUCCCUUUCUUUCUUUCUUCCUUCCUUCCUUCCUUCCUUUCUUUUUCUUUCUUUUUAGUUUUACUGAAGUAUAGUUAAUUUACAAGGCUGUGAUAUUUUCUGCUGCACAAAAAAGUGACCCAGUGAUACCAGAUCCGAGCUGCAUCUAGAAAAGGCAAAAAGACAUACACAUAUCCAUUCUCUCUCAGAUUCUUUUCCCACAUAGAUUAUCACAGAAUUCUGUGCCAUACAGCAGGUCCCAUUGGCCAAUCAUUCUGUACCCUUCAGUGUAUUCCAAAACCCUCAGCCAAUCCCAAACCCCCAGUCCAUCCCUACCCCCAAACCCCACUGUCCCCUUUGGUAAUUGUAAGUCUUCCAAAGUCUGUGAGUCUAUUUCUGUUCUGCAAAUGAGUUCAUUAUAUCAUUUUUUUAAAAAGAUUCCACAUAUAGGUGAUAUCAUAUGAUGUUUGUCUUUCAUUGUCUAACUUCACGUAGUAUGAUAGCUUCUAGGUCCAUCCAUGUUGCUGUAAAUGGCAUUAUUUCACUCUUAUUUAUGGCUGCGUAAUAUUCCAUUGUAUAUAUGUACCACAUCUUCUUUAUCGAUUCUCCUAUUGAUGGACCUUUAGGUUGCUUCCAUUAAUUGGCUAUUAUAAAUAGUGCUGCAGUGAACAAUGGGGUGCACGUAUCUUUUCAAAUAAGGAUUUUCUCUGGAUACGACGCCCUGGAGUGGGAUUGCUAGAUUGUAUGGUAGUUCUAUUUUCAGUUUUUUAAGGAACCUCCAUGCUGUUUUCAAUAGUGUUUGCCCCAAUGCACAUCCCCACCAACAGUCUAAGAGAGUUCCCUUUUCUCCACAUCCUCUGCAGCACUUAUUAUUUGUAGUCUUUGGGGGCAACAAGGGCCGAAUAUGAUGCCAGCUGAGUUGGGUCAGGACUUUAAGAGAAGAACCUUGAAGGCACACACACAUGGCCUCAUCAUGACUUUUGUCUGUUGAAAUAACAAUUUGUCUCUCUAGGCCCCUUCUUGCUGACAAAAUAGUAAAAAUGUAUCUCUUUUUUUUUUUGGUCUUUUUGCCUUUUCUAGGGCC
rnacentral:lncRNA from 1 species